GUGCUCACUUCGGCAGCAUAUCAACUAAAAUUGGAACGAUACACAGAAGAUUAGCAUGGCCCCUGCACAAGGAUGACACCCAAAUUCGUGAAGUGUUCCAUUUUUUA